rnacentral:lncRNA from 1 species
GAUAUCAAAGCACUGAGAAUGCAAGUACUCACUUAAUCUAAGUGCAACCAAUGAUUUAAAUGGGUUUUAAGCUAUGACUAAAACUAGAAAGCAAUAACAGAAUGAUACUUUCUUGACUAAGGGAAAAGAGAACUCAUGGGCAUAGGGAUUAGACCUUGGGUGAUCAAGUAUCGAACUAAGGAUGGCAAAUGAUCAAUCAAACUAUCAACCUUAAGCCUAGACACAAUUCUAAGCAAACUCUAUGUCUAGAUGAAUGCUCAUUUGCUAACAUAUCUCAAACAUCAAAUGUCUUUGGUUGAAUAAUAUGAAAGCAAUCAUUACUAACAAGUCUAUUAGCUAUCUUAGCAUCUUUAACAACAAAUGUCUUUGGC